AUCUAACUGACGAGUCCAAAAUGGGAAGAAAUCCACAUCCUGGAU
rnacentral:hammerhead_ribozyme from 1 species